AGAGUUUGAUCCUGGCUCAGGAUGAACGCUAGCUACAGGCUUAACACAUGCAAGUCGAGGGGAAACGACAUCGAAAGCUUGCUUUUGAUGGGCGUCGACCGGCGCACGGGUGAGUAACGCGUAUCCAACCUGCCCAUCACUUGGGAAUAACCUUGCGAAAGUAAGACUAAUACCCAAUGACAUCCCACGAAGGCAUCCGAAUGGGAUUAAAGAUUUAUCGGUGAUGGAUGGGGAUGCGUCUGAUUAGCUUGUUGGCGGGGUAACGGCCCACCAAGGCAACGAUCAGUAGGGGUUCUGAGAGGAAGGUCCCCCACAUUGGAACUGAGACACGGUCCAAACUCCUACGGGAGGCAGCAGUGAGGAAUAUUGGUCAAUGGGCGAGAGCCUGAACCAGCCAAGUAGCGUGCAGGAAGACGGCCCUAUGGGUUGUAAACUGCUUUUAUAAGGGAAUAAAGUGAGUCUCGUGAGACUUUUUGCAUGUACCUUAUGAAUAAGGACCGGCUAAUUCCGUGCCAGCAGCCGCGGUAAUACGGAAGGUCCGGGCGUUAUCCGGAUUUAUUGGGUUUAAAGGGAGCGUAGGCCGGAGAUUAAGCGUGUUGUGAAAUGUAGAGGCUCAACCUCUGCACUGCAGCGCGAACUGGUCUUCUUGAGUACGCACAACGUGGGCGGAAUUCGUGGUGUAGCGGUGAAAUGCUUAGAUAUCACGAAGAACUCCGAUUGCGAAGGCAGCUCACGGGAGCGCAACUGACGCUGAAGCUCGAAAGUGCGGGUAUCGAGCAGGAUUAGAUACCCUGGUAGUCCGCACGGUAAACGAUGGAUGCCCGCUGUUGGCCUGAAUAGGUCAGCGGCCAAGCGAAAGCAUUAAGCAUCCCACCUGGGGAGUACGCCGGCA
rnacentral:rRNA from 1 species